rnacentral:rRNA from 1 species
UAGGGAAUCUUCGGCAAUGGACGAAAGUCUGACCGAGCAACGCCGCGCGAGUGAAGAAGGUUUUCGGAUCGUAAAACUCUGUUGUUAGAGAAGAACAAGGACGUUAGUAACUGAACGUCCCCUGACGGUAUCUAACCAGAAAGCCACGGCUAACUACGUGCCAGCAGCCGCGGUAAUACGUAGGUGGCAAGCGUUGUCCGGAUUUAUUGGGCGUAAAGCGAGCGCAGGCGGUUUCUUAAGUCUGAUGUGAAAGCCCCCGGCUCAACCGGGGAGGGUCAUUGGAAACUGGGAGACUUGAGUGCAGAAGAGGGGAGUGGAAUUCCAUGUGUAGCGGUGAAAUGCGUAGAUAUAUGGAGGAACACCAGUGGCGAAGGCGGCUCUCUGGUCUGUAUCUGACGCUGGGGCUCGAAAGCGUGGGGAGCAAACAGG